GAUGAACGCUGGCGGCGUGCCUAAUACAUGCAAGUCGAGCGGAGCGGGGACGGGUGAGUAACACGUGGGUAACCUCCUAUAAGACUGGGAUAACUUCGGGAAACCGGAGCUAAACCGGAAACUUCUCGAUGGGUCCGCGCUGCAUUAGCUAGUUGGUAAGGUAACGGCUUACCAAGGCAACGAUGCAUGACCGACCUGAGAGGGUGAUCGGCCACACUGGAACCGAGACACGGUCCAGACUCCUACGGGAGGCAGCAGUAGGGAAUCUUACGCAAUGGGCGAAAGCCUGACGGAGCAACGCCGCGUGAGUGAUGAAGGUCUUCGGGUCGUAAAACUCUGUUAUUAGGGAAGCGGUACCUAAUCAGAAAGCCACGGCUAACUACGUGCCAGCAGCCGCGGUAAUAC
rnacentral:rRNA from 1 species